GAUGAACGCUGGCGGCGUGCUUAACACAUGCAAGUCGAGCGGGCAAUUUAUCUAGCACUGAUUACUUCAAAUGGAAAUCAUAAGUGUAAUCAUGAAUUUCUACCUUUAAUAAAGAAAAAGAAAUUCAUGUACGCAAAUAGUGAUAACACAUUUUAGUGAAGUGAUGAGUGCUGGAUAAAUUGCUAGCGGCGGACGGGUGCGUAACACGUGGGUAACCUGCCCCUAUCACUGGGAUAACACACUGAAAAGUGUGCUAAUACCAGAUAAUAUAAGCUUUUGGCAUCAUUAGCUUAUCAAAGAAUUUCGGAUAGGGAUGGGCCCGCGUCUGAUUAGCUAGUUGGUGAGGUAACGGCUCACCAAGGCAACGAUCAGUAGCCGACCUGAGAGGGUGAUCGGCCACACUGGAACUGAGACACGGUCCAGACUCCUACGGGAGGCAGCAGUGGGGAAUAUUGCACAAU
rnacentral:rRNA from 1 species